rnacentral:lncRNA from 1 species
UCCUUUUUAAUGAAAAAUAUUUUACAAGAAAAAUAGUUUAAUUAGUUAUCAUAAAAUUACUUGAAAAAAUUCCUUCUUACCAAAUACACCCAUAACGACCCUUGACAACAUGUUCUUCAACUAUUUGGCAGAUCCAAUUGCUAUCUGGUGAAUAAGCUCUUGCUCAAAAGCUUUCAUGUCUUGCUCCUUUAAAUUUACACAUGCAUUUAUUCCACCACUGUCUCUUGAAUCCAUCAGUAGAAUAAAAUUCUUGAUUGGCAGGUCGAUUUGACUAAUCCAUAAAGGUUUGUCCCAACCAAAAUCAACAUCAUAAAAUUUGUAGCCACCACACAUGCAUCUAUUCCACCACUGUCUCUUGAAUCCAUCAGUUGAAUAAAAUUCUUGAUUGGC